UAAUAUCAACAUAGGAUAUCAUAAUUUUUUCAUAAUGAAAAGAAUAUUUUCGUCAUCCAAAAUUUCAAACAAAAAUAUAGAACUAUAGAUAUUAAAUAGAUAUUAAAUGCAUAUUAGAAAGUGAUGGACAAGAUGGUAUGCUCCGCGCCGGAUUUUCUAAACUGCAGUUGCAGUACAAAGAAUUUCUCUAGGCAACGUCUAGCCUUGUAAGAAUGGCCCAGCCCAUUAUCUGCCUAUUUUUGUUGUUGAGGAC
rnacentral:lncRNA from 1 species